AUGUGUUGUAACAGUGAGAGUGUGGUGGGUGUGAUUGGGGGUGUGUGACUGAGUGUGGGGGGUGUAAGUGUGUGCAUGCAUGUGGGAGGGUGGUCAGUGUCCCCAGCAGCAUUGUCAUAGCCCCUGGUUUUACAGAACCCCUACCUACUAACAAUACUAUAAAUUAUAAUAUGUCAUCACAGAAGAACACCAUAGGAUGAUGAAAAUGAAUUGCUACUGCAUGUAAUAUCAGUCAUCUCAAAAAUUAAUUACUGGAAAAGCCCCCAAAGAUUAUAUAUUUUGUUGGUUCUUUUUGGCCUUUGGUGGUGCAGGGAGGAGUGGUCUCAUGUAGCUCAGCCAGGCCUUGAGUGGUCUUGACUUCUGAUUCUCCUGCCCACACCUCCUCAGUGCUGGUUUAUGUGGUGCUGAGGACCCAACCAGGGCUCUGGGCAUGCUGGGUAAGCAGACUGCCAACCUAGCUGCAUUCCCAGGCUCGUUUGGUUCUUAAGUUUCAAAUUAGGCAGAAUUGAUCUAUGAAAUGAAGUUGUGUGUGUGUGUGUGUGUGUGGACUGGAGAGAUGGCUCAGCAGUCAAGAUUCCCAGCACCCACAUUGGGAGGCUCUCAGCAACCUGUAACUCCAGCUCCAAAUGAUCCAGCGCCCUCUUUUGGCCUCUAUGGGCACUGCACUGAUGUGUACAUAAGCACACACACAAAAUAAGUUUUUUAAAAAGAUACAUAAUUUUUGCAUUGGGUUUAUGGUAUUCUUUAAUACUUUUUUAAGCCUACCAGCUAACUCAGCAGUUAAGGACACAGGCUCAGCCUCAUGGCUACAUGAUCUCAAAUUGUCUCUGCUCCUUGAGUUUUCCCAUCUUCAGAAUAGAGGAAUAAUAGUACCAUCCAGGGACUCUUUGUUUUUCCCUUUUUUAUUUAUUUGGUUUUUUUUUUUUUUUUUUUUUUUUUGAGACAGGGUUUCUCUUUGUAGCUUUGCGUCUUUUCCUGGAUCUCGCUCUGUAGACCAGGCUGGCCUCAAACUCACAGAGAUCCACCUGCCUCUGCCUCCCGAGUGCUGGGAUUAAAGGCGUGCGCCACCACCGCCCAGCUCCCUUUUUAAAAAAAAAAAUUUAUUCUAUACGUCUUUUACAUCACGGGUCUUGAUCCCAUUCAUUUCCCUGUCCCUUCGCAUCUACCCUCCACCCCUGCACACACACACAUACACACACACACACACAAAUAGAAUUUAGGGGUAAAAAUAAAAUCUCAUGGGAGCUGCGUUGUGACACAGUGCGUCACGCAGUACCCCUUGUCCAUGUGUCUUGACUUGCAAGUGGCCAGUGUUCGUUGCAGAGUCAUUGGUCUGGUUCGAGGCCUCUGGUUUCCACUGCGCUAUCGAUGCUGGGUCCUCACUAGGACUCUUGGAUAUCCUGUUGUUGCCCUGUGCUGUGGAGAUCCUGCAGCUUUGGGGCUGCAGUCAGGUUCCUUCACGUGCUCCAGCAGAUCAUAGCUGGGGGGGAUGUUGGGGCGGGCCAAGUCCUAACCUUGGUUCUGGGCGGCUGUAGGGUCCUCACCACCAGGGUGAGCUCUCCAGCAUUGUCCCUGCUAAUUCACCUCCUGCAGCAGUGAGCGAGGGGUGGGGCCAGUUCCUCUCCCACACCCUCAGGGUCAGCCCUCCCACACUUGCACCACCAGGGCCGGCUCUGUUGUGUUACCCAGGCGAGGAACAGGGGCCACUCUUCUUCGAGUGCUGCAGCUGAUGAGGGACAGGGACAGCCCUCCUGCUCUUAGGACCCCCUGGGGCUCUUCUUAAGAUUAUAUGUGAUUCUAUAGAUUAUAUGGGCCUGGCCCAAAACAGGCUGACAUGUCUGCUGUUUUCGUCAGGAACAGCAGCCUUUGUCACGUGUCUUGGCAGGACAUUCAUUCCCAGGGAGCUUCAGGCCGAGAUCCCACAAAGACUGGAAGCUCACUGGGUGACUGGUCCUGAGGCUCCUGGGUUCAUCAGUUCAGGCAGCAGUGACCAGACAACACAGGCAAGCCGCCCUGCUUCCUAACCAGGAGGAGUGACAGCGAUAGAGUCAGAACAUGCUUGGAAUCACCGCUUACCACUGACAUCAAAGAGAGGAAACCGUCAGUGAGACUACAUUCUUCUACUGGGCAGCUAAUGGCACCACAGAGAGGACGCUCUUGAGCACUCAGGGCACGUUUUCCAGAGGAGAUUACUGCCAUAGCUGAUUUCAGAUUCAUGGUUUGGAGUCCAUCCUUCUGUCUGAGAUGUCCGCUACCCUGGAUGUACAGUACCCAGGUCGUCUGAAACUGCCAGAUGUGACAUGGCAGCCCUGGCACUUCUUCAUGCUGUAGCUAGAACACACUUACUUACAGACACUUUUCCUCAUCCACUGUGGAUGUUCAGAGGUAAAUUUCGCAUAAUAAAGGUCAGCCAUUUGAGCCUUCCCUAUACAGACCGUCACAAUAGAAAUUAGUUUCCUAGCAUUCUUCAGUGGGAAGCAGCAGGUUUGGAGUUCGUUGUUAUGAACUUACAGGUUACAGAUAUUUCGAGGUCCCAGUUCAUUGUGGUGCUGAUUGGCUGAUGCUCAGAUUGGCCCAUCAGUGUCCAGAAGGUGUUCAGGUUAGCUCCUGAGUAGAACUUGAAUAUCCUUGCCUUGUGGUAUGCUGUGAUCCUCUAGUCCCUUAUGGCACAUUUCCUGUCUCAGGCUUGGACUCAAUCAUUUCUCUUCCAGCCAGUUUUCUUUUUGUGGGAAAUAUUUCUAGAUGCAAAUCAGGUGGUGGGGAUUCUUACUAUGUUGGGUAGGUAAGUUUCCAUGCUUUUUUGAUGACUAGAGAUGAGAGAAGAUAGAUGAUAGAUAGAUAGAUAGGUAGAUAGAUAGAUAUAAAUAGAUAGAUAUAAAUAGAUAGAUAGAUGAUAGAUAAAUAGAUAGAUCAUAGAUAAAUAGAUAGAUCAUAGAUAGAUGAUAGAUGAUACACACAGAGACACACACACUCACACACAUACAUAUAUAACUUGUCAUAGCAAGCUGUUUUUUAAAUGUGCUUGUCAAAUUUGAGUGUUGCUAAUAUGACAGUAUAGAGGUGAUUAGAUCUUUGAAGCUAACACCCCACCCCUAUCUCAGUGAAAGAGGCUUCCUGAAGCUUUGGGUGAGUUUGUGAACCAUUUAACACUAUCCAAAAGAAAGCUAUCCGCUAUUUUAGUUUUAGACAGAGAAGACCAUCAUGGAUUGUUAGGAAGCAUUGUACAGCGAUCAAGGAGGCAAGACUUCAAAACCCCAGCAGCAAGCCCAGCCCUUACUGUGUGUGCAGCCGGAAGAGCACCAGCGUCUGAGAGGGGAAGGUGAUGGGAGUAAGAGCAGACAGGCCUUCGGCCGCUGACACACCAGCCAGGCGGGAGCGAUACGAUUCACCCGAAAAGCGGACUCAGCCACACUGGUGGAACUUUGAUCCCCCAACAACAGCAGUUCUUCUCUAGCUCACAUGGCCGUUUACCAGGAUAGACCCAUGCUGUGCCAUCGACCGUAACAAAACACCCAUAGGAGCUGCACAAAGAAACAGCAACAGUGCGCAGAUGCACCCAAGGAAGAGCCGAAGGAUGGGGAGCUAUCCAACGUUCAUGGAUGGGAGACUACCUGUCAUGAAGAUGUCAAGUUUUCCAACCUAGCAUAUAGAUGCAUAUAGAUACAUAUGCAGGCCAAAUCAAAACCUUAGCGAGGGCAUUUGUGGGUAUUGACAAAAGGAUUAUAAAGUUUGCAUGGAAAGGCAAAAGGCUAAAAACAACUAAAACAACCCCAAAGAGGAACAAAGUUGAGGACUCAUACUAUAUGAUUUUUAAAACUUCAUAUAAAGCAGCAAUAGUCAAGACAGUUCACCAUGUUAAUUACUGGAACUAAACAGUGAAGGCACAAAAAGACUUACACAAAAGAAGAAAGGCACACCAAUGGAGAAGGAAUAUUUUAUCAAAAAAUGAUGCUGAAGUAAAUACAAAUUAAAAAAUAAUAAAAAAAUAAAAUAAAAAUAAGCCUGGAUACAGGCCUUAUACCUUUCACAAAAAUUAAAUCAGUUUUGACCAUAGACCUAAAUAUGAAAUUUUUUAAAAAUCUACUGGAAAACUUUGAAUUUAGAAAAGAGUUUUUUCACCCAACAACAGAAUUAUGGAAGGGUAGGCUGGAGAGAUGGCUCAGAGGUUAAGAGUACUGACUGCUCUUCCAGAGGUCCUGAGUUCAAUUUCCAGCAACCACAUGGUGGCUCACGACCACCUGUAGUGAGAUCUGGUGCCCUCUUCUUGCAUGCAGUCAUACAUGCUGUAUACACAAUAAAUAAUAAAUCUUAAAAGAAUUAUGGAAGGGUGAGGAAAGAGGGAGGGAGGAGGGAGGGGAGAAGAAAGGACAAGACUGGAUUGGACUGGAAAGAUCAGGGAGAAAAACAAGGAAAUCAUGCAGGAAGGGCGUGAACAGAAGCUCACACUCCAGAUGCCACUACAGGAAAGACAGUAAAAGGCACUGGCAAGUCUCUCAUGGUGUGUGGCACACACUUACCAACCGGGAAGUCUCUCAUGGCGUGUGGCACACACUUACCAACCGGGAAGUCUCUCAUGGCGUGUGGCACACACUUACCAACCGGGAAGUCUCUCAUGGCGUGUGGCACACACUUACCAACCGGGAAGUCUCUCAUGGCGUGUGGCACACACUUACCAACCGGGAAGUCUCUCAUGGCGUGUGGCACACACUUACCAACCGGGAAGUCUCUCAUGGCGUGUGGCACACACUUACCAACCGGGAAGUCUCUCAUGGCGUGUGGCACACACUUACCAACCGGGAAGUCUCUCAUGGCGUGUGGCACACACUUACCAACCGGGAAGUCUCUCAUGGCGUGUGGCACACACUUACCAACCGGGCCAUCUCCUGGCCCCUUCCUUGGGUCUUCCAUCAUCUAUAGUGACUAUAGAAUCUCCUUGGCUGCUGCUUCAUAAGAGCUCCCCAAUAAUUUCUUUUUGAAGAACAAGAGAAUUAAUUACAUAAAAAUCAAACUACUAAAAAACUUGAAUGCGUUAAAUCGGUGAAGUCAAAACUAAAAGUCUCCCAAAUCGUCAGAAAAUGUGUGCGUAUAACGGGGUCUGGAAACCACAAACCACAUGGUAGAAAGAUUUUUAGAAAGACUAAAAUACGAAUUAUGUGUUUAGAAUCCCUUUGGGAGACAAAUUUCUGGGCCUCUCUGUAAAGAUGUUUUCAGGAAAGUUGAAGGCGAGAAGCACCCCCUGCCCUUGAGUGUGGGCUGCUCCCUCCGUGGCUGGGGCCCCAGAUGUCCUAGACAGGAGGAAGUGAGCUGAGCCAGCGUUCAUCUCUCUGCGUGCUUGCUGCUGGGGCUGUCACCAGCUGCCCUGCCCUCCUGCAUCAUGCCUUCUCCACCGUGAGGAGCUGAACCCUCAAACCAGAGCCAAAACAAACCUUCCUUUAGUUGCUUUUUUAAAAGGCUUCAUUUUAUUAUUUUCUUACAUGUAUGAGUGUUUUGCUUGCAUGUAUGUCUGUGUACAUGCAUUCAUGGUGCCCUCAGAGGCCAGAAGAGGGUGUGGGGUCUCCUGUUACCAGAGUUACAGCCACCAUGUGGGUGCUGGGAAUUGAACCCUGGUCCUCUGAAAGAGCAGCCAGUGCUCUUAACCACUGAGCCAUCUCUCCAGGCCACCUUAAGCUGCUCUGUCAGGUGCUUUGACACCACAGAGAGAAAUAACUAACGACGUCUGUAACACAAAGCAUAGAAAAACUGGCAUCAAGUGCGUCUGUUGCUCUCUGCAAAUCAAAUGGAUAAACUCCUUAAGGAGAAGACGCUCCAGCUGAAUCAGAGGCUCAGUCCUUUGCAAUCCUGAGCUAAACCCAAACGUGGCGGCCUGGAAAAUUAGAGAUGGAGUUACAGGGCAACCUUCUGGGGAAUAUAAACAGACAGAAAGAAAAAGGUACUUAAAGAAGUUAAAGGUGAAAGCAUUAUGCUGGGGAAAUAAGGCAAUUUAUAGUACAAACUGAAACUAAGACCUGAUUUUACAUUUAUUCAUAUAACAAAGGCAGUAAUAUUCAAAUUCUUAAGUUUGUGUGUGUGUGUGUGUAUGUGUGUGUGUGUGUAUGUGUGUGUGUGUGUAUGUGUGUGUGUGUGUGUGUGUGUGUGUGUGUGUGUGUGUGUGUAGCUAAGAGGUUGAAUUAGCUGUAGAAGACAUCAUCUUUCUAUACAGUUUUGGUUUAUGAAACAACAGAGAAAGUGAUAAAUACCUCAUUGAAAUACUUGAGGCAAAAGCAAGGCCGUGCACCCCCAGAGUGAAGUCCAUUGGUAUCGUCUUCCUGCAGCCCCACAGCGUGCUCAAGUCACAGCACAAACCAGGAUGGGAAGGCCCCCAAAUCAACGACACAAAUCAGCACCCACCACCAUCGUUCAACUGGAGGAAAUACAAAACAAACUCUGGAAUAUUCAGAAAAUUACAGUAAAGAAAAUGUUUAAGACAUGAGAGAUAACUUGAAGUGGCAUAGAGAAAAAUACAAAGCCUAAAACAUUAAUAUUCAUAGAUACUAUAAUUAAUGAAGAUAAGUCAUAAUCUUGCUGAAGGAAUUAGAGGGACAAGAGAGCGGCAGACAACGGAAGCAGAAGGAAAAGCGAAAGCCCGAAUUUCCGUUUAGAGUGUUGAAGACCUCGUGAAGCAAGAGCCUAAUCAGGAAAAAUGGAGACAACACAAGAUAAUAAGCAGGGAAACCAAAAUUUCUGAGUAAAUUAAAAUAGUUAUGAGUUUUAACUGUUUGGUCUUAAAAACGAAAAAGAUGAUUUUCAAAGAAAAUAUGAAUGCUUACUAUUCAUCUUAGAGAGGGGGGCCUUCUGAAUAGGGUAAUUUACAAAAGAAAUCCCUUUAAAGAUGUAGCAAGUUGUUGUCUAUGAAAAAUAGUCCAGCAGGGUCCCAGUAACUUUAGAUACAAAUAUGUGUUUUUUCUGGACUAUUAAAAAUUGCACUUCUGGAAGGUCAUGCCUUGAGGUCCCGCUUUUUUCCAUUCAGGCAGCAAUAGUGAACCAACACACAGACAGAAAAUAGAUGAGCACAGCUAGGCUCAAAGAUGAAUUGAGCACCCCACCUCAGAGAGCUGGUGGCCAGGACAGGAUGAAUCCAAGUGAGGACAGACAAGCUGGGUGUGUGGCUGGCCACGUCCAGGGAGCCUGUCUUCUGUCGGAUUAAUAGGGUCUAAAGAUCCUGAGCAAUUGGAAAGGCUGCAGAGGGCUCCUGACCACAGGGAGAGGCUGAACCGAUCACCCAGUGCUGCCCAGAGCAAGGCUCAGUGAAACUGCGGUCCCAGGCAGGAGAAAACAGCAGGGUUAUGACCAGGAACUACACCGUAUUGUCCACAUGGUUCACCUGCAGAGGCCAGAGGCCAGCUUUCUGGAGUCAGUUCUCUCCUUCCACCUUAUGGGUCCCAGCGAUGGAACUCAAGUCGUCGGCCUUGGCCAUAAGUGCCUUUGCUCACUGAGCCUUCUCUCCAGACCCAUGAUUAUUUUAACUGACAACGACCCCUCCCCCACCCAACUCAGCUUCCUAAGACACCGACUGCUAAAGUGGAUCCACAACCUUUUUACAUCAUAGUUAUGUGAGUGGUUAUCUAACAAUUAUCAAUAAUGGGAAGAUAAAGUGGUAUAGUGUGUGUGUGUGUGUGUGUGUGUGUGUGUGUGUGUGUGUGUGUGUGUGUGUUUUAAGAAAUGGUUCCUAUAGGGAAGGAAAAUGUAGGAUAUUUGGGACAGGGAUUAAAAUAUUAAAUCUUUCUUAGUAGACAUUGUUUUACAGAUUUGGUUUUGGAAACAUGUAAAUGUGUUACCUGCUUUAAAAAAAAAAUGAAAAGAAAAAGCUGCAUGAAAUAAGAGAAUCAACUUGCUAUUUCAAUCUUUGAGUGGAGGAAAAGUCGCUCCUAUACUAACAACCAGAGAAAUCUGACAAACGGAAAAGCAAUGAGUGUUUGGACCACUUGGAGGCUGAUACCACAGGGCCAAGCACCCUCCAAAAGAUGGAGGAGCAGGAUGCUCCAGAGAGGCCUGGAGCCAAUAGCUCUGCCCCAGGACAGAUGGUGCAGAAGCCCUGUGAACUGCCAGGAAGACAUGAAUGGUGGUUUCCAUGAAUUACUGGGGUUCAGCAUGAACAGCAGGAACCCCUGCAGGAGGAAGAAGCUCCCGGGCUCCCAGUCUUCAGCACUGCCCUGCCGGUAACCCCACCAGGUUCUCACGGUUAAGAUCUGAGAACGACCCCUUUAUGGCUGUAGCAGAGAAGACUCAUCGUUGUAAAAUAUGUCCAGAGCUGUUUCCAUAACAAAAGCCUACACUCCAGGAUGGGGACUUCUCCCGGGGCUUGCCCCAGAGCCCUGGGGAGGGAAUGGCUCCUGUUCCAGCCCAUGCCUAGUCUCUGCGUCUCACUCAAGGGGGAAAAGAAGUCACAAAGAACACACAUUUGUGCGAAGUCACAGACACUGGCACACGAGAAGACUGAACUGGAAUAUGAUGGAAAGCUCCCUUCCUCUCGCCUCCCCACCUCACCAGCAGCUUGUGAUUAGUCUUCAGCAAGCAUUAACCAGAGUUUUACUUCUAUCCCAGCUAAUAUAAAUCUUCACAAUAAAGACUGAGUUUCAGUUGCCAAUAACAACAAAAAAAUUACCGGGGGGAGGAGGGGGAGGGGAUUGCUGGAAGGUGGCUUGGUGGGUAAAGCUGGGAGGAACUGAGUUCAGAUCCCCAGAACCUCUAUAGAGUUGAAUACAUUUCUGGAAUCCCAGUGAUCUUGCAGUGAGAAUGGGGGGUGGAGACAGGACCCCCAAAGGCUUCUGAGACGGCAAGCCUGGGGCACACAGAUCCUGUCAUGGAAGACAAUCAAAGUGGCAGGAAAGGUCUGACAUCCAAGGUUGUCCCAUGACCUCCAUAGCACACCUUUCCUGUGUGAUCCUAUCUCAAAGCAAUGAUACAGUGCCUAGAAACUAUUCCUACAGAACUCUACCCGAGACAAGCAGCCAGGAUGAUGGAACUUGAUGUGAGCAUCUUACAGCUCAUGAGAAAAAAAAAAAAAUCAGUUUUGGUGAUGAUCACCAGCUAAUAUUAAAACCAAUAAGAAAACAGCUGCUAAGAGCAACUGAUGCAGCCGGCGGUACCUGAGCCCUACAGUCUCCUUAGUAACAGACACAUCUGUGUCUGCGAACCCCAAUGUGCAGGUACAGAAAGUGCACACCACCUCCCACACGCUGUUCCUGUCAAAGCAGUAAACCUGAAUCCGAUCUUUUAGACUGAACUGCCAACUCAUAGACCCUGAGACCCGCAGAAGAGAAGAGUCUCGUGUAGCUCAGGCUGUGUAACCAAGGAUGACCUCAGCUCCUUGUCCUCCUGCCUGUCUCCCAAGUGCUGGAGUUGCAGGUGUGACCAGGAACUCAAGGCAGGAGCUUGAAGCAGCCCCAAGAGAAGAGAAAUGCUUACCUCAACCAGCGCCUUCCUUCCACACCCCUGGAGCACCUCCCUAAGGGCUGGGCCUCGUACGGUGGGCUGGGCCCUCCAGCAUCAGUUAACCCAAGAAAACACCCCACGGUCAUGCCCACAAGUCCCUCUUCCCAGGGACAGAAGACUGGUGAGGCCGAGGCUGCGGAGGAAUGGGCUCUGAGAACUCUAGUUUGUCUGACGGGUCUACGUGACUGGCUGAAUUAAACACCGCCCUAGGAGGAUGCCUCUCAGAUGAAAACGACCAAGACGUGCAGUGUUCCAGAAAGAGAAACAAGCUGAACACUGCUGACACAGGUCUCUUUCCUGCUUCUUUUCUUCUCCUCCGGUCUGGAAUAUGAAUGCGACGUCUUAUUUUAAAAUAUUUAUUAUUUAUUUACGUGUAAUGCUGGGGGUUGAACCUAGGCUCUAGAGCAGUGCUGCUCAGCCUUCCUAAUGCUGCAACCCUUUAAUACAGUUCCCCAUGUAGUGGUGACCCACAGCCAUAAAAGUAUUUUCUUUGCUACUUCAUAACUGUAAUUUUGCUCCUGUUAGGAAUUGUAAUGUAAACAUCUGUGUUUUCCGAUGGCCGUAGGUAGUCCCUGUGAAAGGGUCAUUGAUGGACAACUGCUGGUCUAGAAUGUGCUCCAAGCUACCUGGAAGCUACAGCUCCAAUCCUCCUUUUACUUUUUUGCUUUGAGACAGAUUCAGUUGCCUGGGUGACAUUAGCCCAGUAGCUGGGAUGACCUGCUUCAAAGUCACUUUCUAUCAGCACUGAGGAAGGGCAGGCUCCUGACCUCAGAACCCUGGGGACUGGGAUGAGGAGGCAAAAGAUUCAUCUGGAGAGAGCCAUGGGGCAGGUAGCACCCUUGGGGCACAGCCAGGUCCCAGGUAUGAAGGAGAUGGGAGAGAUUUAGAGAGAGGCACUGUGGGUGUAGAGAGUCCGCUGGGGACAGACUGAGUUCCAGAACCCCAAGGAGGGAGGGACCUAAAAGGAUGAGGUCAACUUCACAGACAGUGUGGGAGGAAGUUCAUGUGUGAGGAAGCCAGGGUACCUGGAAAGGCCUGACUUCUGGUGGUUCUAGGGUGCAUGCCAUCCAUCUUUUGUGGGGUUCUCUAUAAAGGACUGGUCUCAGCUGGAAUGUAUGCAGAGAAUGACCAAUUCCCUGGGCUUACUUUCUUAGGCACUUCAUAGUGGAGAGGUCAUCUCAGAGGACAUUUCACAGGACAUCUGUGGGCUUUCAUGUUGGCUUGUUCUUUCCUGAGGCUAGCUACCUGGAUUUAGGGGUGACGUCACCCUUCCUUCCUUCCUUCCUCCCCCUCUUCUCCUCCUCCCUUCCUCCCUCCCUCCCUCCCUCCCUCCCUCCCUCCCUCCCUUCUUUCUUUCUUUCUUUUUUGUUUUUUGGGACAGGGUUUCUCUGUGUAGCCUUGGCUGUCCUGAAACUUGCAUUGUAGACCAGGAUGACCUCGAACUCACAGAGAUCCGCCUGCCUCUGCCUCCCAAGUGCUAGGAUUAAAGGCGUGCGCCACCACCGCCCACAGUCCAGAAACUCCACUGUCUUUUGCUGUGUAAUCUCAGGCAAGUUCCUUACCCUCUUUGUGGCUCCCAGGAUGAUUCUGAUAAUUGAGUAUAAUUCAUUUAAACACUUAGAACAGUGGCUCAUUUAUAAUGAUGCUCAAUAAACAUCAGCCAUCAUUAAUAUGAUUCUUAUUCUCUUAAACAUAGACCAACUGUUAUUUCUGUCUUCUGCUUUCUGAUGAUAAGACUGUAUCUCAAAGGUUAUAACAACAAAUGUUUAUUUCUGGCUCAUAGGUCUGUAGAUUCUCCAGGGGAUCAUGGAACUCUUCAGGCUUCUGGGUGGGUUCCAGCUUGGGGCUGCUUACAAGGCAAGUCAGAAGUCCAAGAAUCCAACACCAGAUAGAGCGCUUGAGUGCAGGUGUGGAAGGCCUCUGGCUGGCCGGGGCCUGGCCUGUACAAGUCCCCUUCUUUUGACGGAGAGUCGCCUGAACCCGCCCCAACUGCCGUGUGCCAGCGUCAGCCAGCACCAGCUUUUAGCCAUGGCACCACCCGCUCCGGCAGCCAGCUCCUCUCUGUCCCCCGCCACGGUGUGGUCACUGUGAUCUUCCCAAAAUGCAGUUCUAGUCCUGGAUGCUCAACAGUGCAAGCUCCGUGUCUUUACACAGCCACCAGUGAAAGGACCCUCCUUCACCCCUCCCCGGUUCCAAGCUCCAGGCCCUAGCACAGCAGCCGGGCGCUCCUAUUGGCCCUUGUCUCUGUCUUUCAACUCAAGCCUCAAGCCUGGUUAACUCAUCCUUAUCGUAUAUCCCCACCCCGCCCCGCCCACCUCAGCAUCUGCACCCCCACCACUGCGCUCCUCCGCUGUGUUCUAGAGCAUAGGGAUGUGUGUUAUCAUGGCCAUUGGGAUUGCCCCGGCUGGGUGCACUGGCCCCCAGCUGUCCUCCCUAGAGAGGGGACAACAGUGUGUGCUCCUUGCAAAGUGGCAUUAAAUGAGAUAGCGACACGGAGCUCUGUGGGAGGGGUAGCUGUCAGUUUUCAACUAAACCUUUGUGUUGAAGGGUGACAAAGUUUCAGGAAACUGCACAUGCUGUCACAGCUGUGUGCUCUCUAUGGAGUGAAUUCCACAAACACACCGUUAUGGUCAGCCCCUAGGUA